GAGCGGCGUACGGGUGCGGAACACGUGUGCACUGCUUUAUCUGGGGGAUAGCCUUUCGAAAGGAAGAUUAAUACCCCAUAAUAUGUUGAAUGGCAUCAUUCGACAUUGAAAACUCCGGUGGAUAGAGAUGGGCACGCGCAAGAUUAGAUAGUCGGUGAGGUAACGGCUCACCAAGUCUACGAUCUUUAGGGGGCCUGAGAGGGUGAUCCCCCACACUGGUACUGAGACACGGACCAGACUCCUACGGGAGGCAGCAGUGAGGAAUAUUGGACAAUGGGUGAGAGCCUGAUCCAGCCAUCCCGCGUGAAGGACGACUGCCCUAUGGGUUGUAAACUUCUUUUGUAUAGGGAUAAACCUACCCUCGUGAGGGUAGCUGAAGGUACUAUACGAAUAAGCACCGGCUAACUCCGUGCCAGCAGCCGCGGUAUACGGAGGGUGCAAGCGUUAUCCGGGAUUAUUGGGUUUAAAGGGUCCGUAGGCGCGAUCUGUAAGUCAGUGGUGAAAAUCUCACAGGUUUAACUGUGGAAAUUGCAUUGAUAUGGAGUCUUUGGAGUGUUGUUGGAAGUAAUUGGGAAUAAAGUAGUGUAAGGGUGGAAAUUG
rnacentral:rRNA from 1 species